GUCUUUUUCGUAUAAUUAUUAUAAAUGACUUCCAAUCAUUUGAUCUUAGCGAAAACCUAAGAAAAGACA
rnacentral:tRNA from 1 species